UACGAAGGGGGCUAGCGUUGCUCGGAAUCACUGGGCGUAAAGGGUGCGUAGGCGGGUCUUUAAGUCAGGGGUGAAAUCCUGGAGCUCAACUCCAGAACUGCCUUUGAUACUGAAGAUCUUGAGUUCGGGAGAGGUGAGUGGAACUGCGAGUGUAGAGGUGAAAUUCGUAGAUAUUCGCAAGAACACCAGUGGCGAAGGCGGCUCACUGGACAUGUAUUGACGCUGAGGUGCGAAAGCGUGGGGAGCAAACA
rnacentral:rRNA from 1 species